rnacentral:miRNA from 1 species
GUUAUAUACACACACUACAUUAUAUACACACACUACACAAACACACUGUGUAUGUAAUGCAGUGUGUGUGUUUGCA